UUGCUUUGGUAGCAAAUAUACUAAUGUUGGAAUGAUACAGAGAGGAUUAGCAUGGCCCCUGAGCAAGAAUGACAUGCAGAGGACUCUGGGAGCGGGGACUAAAUAAAUAAAAUAAUUUU
rfam:Mus musculus chromosome 4 genomic contig, GRC reference assembly alternate locus group NOD/MrkTac.